UGGGGAAUAUUGCACAAUGGGCGCAAGCCUGAUGCAGCCAUGCCGCGUGUGAAGAAGGCCUUCGGGUUGUAAAGCACUUUCAGCGAGGAGGAAGGUGGUGAGCUUAAUACGCUCAUCAAUUGACGUUACUCGCAGAAGAAGCACCGGCUAACUCCGUGCCAGCAGCCGCGGUAAUACGGAGGGUGCAAGCGUUAAUCGGAAUUACUGGGCGUAAAGCGCACGCAGGCGGUUUGUUAAGUCAGAUGUGAAAUCCCCGGGCUCAACCUGGGAACUGCAUUUGAAACUGGCAAGCUAGAGUCUCGUAGAGGGGGGUAGAAUUCCAGGUGCAGCGGUGAAAUGCGUAGAGAUCUGGAGGAAUACCGGUGGCGAAGGCGGCCCCCCUGGACGAAGACUGACGCUCAGGUGCGAAAGCGUGGGGCAGCAAACAGGAUUAGAUACCCUGGUAGUCCACGCUGUAAACGAUGUCGAUUUUGGAGGUUGUGCCCUUGAGGCGUGGCUUCCGGAGCUAACGCGUUAAAUCGACCGCCUGGGGAG
rnacentral:rRNA from 1 species